AAUCAACGCUGGCGGCGUGCCUAAUACAUGCAAGUCGAACGCGAAAGUCCCGCAAGGGGCAAGUAGAGUGGCAAACGGGUGAGUAACGCGUGGGCGACCUACCUUCGAGUGGGGGAUAACCUUCCGAAAGGAGGGCUAAUACCGCAUGACAUCCCGUGUUUGGAUACACGGACAUCAAAGUCGGGGAUCGCAAGACCUGACGCUUGGAGAGGGGCCCGCGUCCGAUUAGCUAGUUGGUGGGGUAACGGCCCACCAAGGCUUCGAUCGGUAUCCGGCCUGAGAGGGCGGACGGACACACUGGGACUGAGACACGGCCCAGACUCCUACGGGAGGCAGCAGUAGGGAAUUGUUCGCAAUGGGCNCAAGCCUGACGACGCAACGCCGCGUGGA
rnacentral:rRNA from 1 species